CUUGGCGCCGGUGCGGUGGGAAGCGUCACCUGCGUUAACGGCGCCGGAUAACGGCGAAGGGCCGGUCUCAGGUCGUUCUGUUGGGCGCUCCAAGAC
rnacentral:tRNA from 1 species